UGGGUAGGGGAGCGUCGUGUGCCGGGUGAAGCCGCGCCGGAAGGCAGUGGUGGACGGUUCACGAGUGAGAAUGCAGGCAUGAGUAGCGAUACAGGAGUGGGAAACUCCUGCGCCGAUUGACCAAGGGUUCCUGGGUCAAGCUGAUCUGCCCAGGGUAAGUCGGGGCCUAAGGCGAGGCCGACAGGCGUAGUCGAUGGAUAACCGGUUGAUAUUCCGGUACCCGCUGUGGAGCGCAAGGGCCGAGCCCGGUGAUGCUAAGUCCGUGAAGCCGCCCGUGCCCUUCGGGGUGCGGUGUUGGUGGAGCCGACGGCCCGAUCCGGUAGUAGGUGAGUGAUGGGGUGACGCAGGAAGGUAGUCCAGCCCGGGCGGUGGUUGUCCCGGGGUAAGGGUGUAGCCCGUUGUGCAGGUAAAUCCGUGCAACAUUCGAGGGUGAGACCUGAUGCCGAGCCGAUGUGGUGAAGUGGAUGAUCCUAUGCUGUCGAGAAAAGCCUCUAGCGAGUUGCACGGCGGCCCGUACCCUAAACCGACUCAGGUGGUCUGGUAGAGAAUACCGAGGCGUUCGGGUGAACUAUGGUUAAGGAACUCGGCAAAAUGCCCCCGUAACUUCGGGAGAAGGGGGGCCACACCCGGUGAUCGCCCAUGCGGUGUGAGCUGGGGGUGGCCGCAGAGACCAGCGAGAAGCGACUGUUUACUAAAAACACAGGUCCGUGCGAAGCCGUAAGGCGAGGUAUACGGACUGACGCCUGCCCGGUGCUGGAACGUUAAGGGGACCGGUUAGUGGUGCUUCGGCGCCGCGAAGCUGAGAACUUAAGCGCCAGUAAACGGCGGUGGUAACUAUAACCAUCCUAAGGUAGCGAAAUUCCUUGUCGGGUAAGUUCCGACCUGCACGAAUGGCGUAACGACUUCUCGACUGUCUCAACCAUAGGCCCGGUGAAAUUGCACUACGAGUAAAGAUGCUCGUUUCGCGCAGCAGGACGGAAAGACCCCGGGACCUUUACUACAGCUUGAUAUUGGUGUUCGGUUCGGCUUGUGUAGGAUAGGUGGGAGCCGGUGAAGCAUGCACGCCAGUGUGUGUGGAGGCGUUGUUGAAAUACCACUCUGGUCGUGCUGGAUGUCUAACCCGGGUCCGUGAUCCGGAUCGGGGACAGUGUCUGGUGGGUAGUUUAACUGGGGCGGUUGCCUCCCAAAGGGUAACGGAGGCGCCCAAAGGUUCCCUCAGCCUGGUUGGUCAUCAGGUGGUGAGUGUAAGUGCACAAGGGAGCUUGACUGUGAGACUGACGGGUCGAGCAGGGACGAAAGUCGGGACUAGUGAUCCGGCGGUGGCUGGUGGAAGCGCCGUCGCUCAACGGAUAAAAGGUACCCCGGGGAUAACAGGCUGAUCUUCCCCAAGAGUCCAUAUCGACGGGAUGGUUUGGCACCUCGAUGUCGGCUCGUCGCAUCCUGGGGCUGGAGUCGGUCCCAAGGGUUGGGCUGUUCGCCCAUUAAAGCGGUACGCGAGCUGGGUUUAGAACGUCGUGAGACAGUUCGGUCCCUAUCCGCUGUGCGCGUAGGAGUCUUGAGAAGGGCUGUCCCUAGUACGAGAGGACCGGGACGGACGAACCUCUGGUGUGCCAGUUGUUCUGCCAAGGGCAUGGCUGGUUGGCUACGUUCGGGAGGGAUAACCGCUGAAAGCAUCUAAGCGGGAAGCCUGCUUCGAGAUGAGGACUCCCACCCCUUGAAGGGGGUAAGGCUCCCGGGAGACGACCGGGUUGAUAGGCCAGAGAUGGAAGCCGGGUGACCGGUGGAGUUGACUGGUACUAAUAGGCCGAGGGCUUGUCCGU
rnacentral:rRNA from 1 species